CCUACGGGUGGCUGCAGUCGAGGAUCUUCGGCAAUGGGCGCAAGCCUGACCGAGCGACGCCGCGUGCGGGAUGAAGGCCUUCGGGUUGUAAACCGCUGUCAGGGGGGAUGAAAUCAUGGUGGGUACUCCCAUCAUGUUGACAGAGCCCCAGAGGAAGCGCGGGCUAAGUUCGUGCCAGCAGCCGCGGUAAUACGAACUGCGCGAAGCACAGUGGGUAUCACUGGGCUAGCAGGGAGCGAAGGUGGGAUGUGAAAUGCCUUGGCUCAACCAAGGCACAGCGCUCUAAACUACUUUGCUUGAGUGAGUCAGGGGUGCACGGAACUUCCGGUGGAGCGGUGAAAUGUGUUGAUAUCGGAAGGAACACCGGCGGCGAAAGCGGUGCACUGGGGCUUAACUGACACUGAGGCACGAAAGCCAGGGGAGCGAACGGGAUUAGAUACCCGUGUAGUC
rnacentral:rRNA from 1 species